rnacentral:rRNA from 1 species
UACGUAGGGUCCGAGCGUUGUCCGGAAUCAUUGGGCGUAAAGGCGCGUAGGUGGCCCAGUCAGCGUGCGGUGAAAGCUCGGGGCUCAACCCCGAGUCGGCCGUGCGAACUACUGGGCUGGAGCACUGUAGAGGCAGGCGGAAUUCCGGGUGUAGCGGUGGAAUGCGUAGAGAUCCGGAAGAACACCGGUGGCGAAGGCGGCCUGCUGGGCGGCGACUGACGCUGAGGCGCGACAGCGUGGGGAGCAAACAGG